rnacentral:piRNA from 1 species
UAGAGAGGGUAGAGGAAAGCCUGAGU